rnacentral:misc_RNA from 1 species
GAUGAAGAACGUAGCGAAACGCGAUAGUUAAUGUGAAUUGCAGAAUUCAGUGAAUCAUCGAGUCUUUGAACGCACAUUGCGCCCAUUGGUAUUCCGUUGGGCAUGUCUGUUUGAGCGUCAUUACAACAGUUCAGCGUAAGCUGGUUAUGAGUUCUGUUUUUUUAAACAAAAAACAGGCUUUAAAAUGUAUGUUCUGCAGGUCGCUUUGCUAAACCCUAAACAUUAAAUACUGUUCUAGUGAAGCAUUUGCGACUCUGCCUGAAAAAAAACUUUUGUUAAAGUUUGACCUCAGAUCAGACAAGGAUACCCGUUGAACUUAAGCAUAUCAAUAAGCGGAGGA